UCUAUCAAAGGAGAAUAGUUACUCCCCUGGUCUUAGGCGCCAGAACUCUUGGUGCUAAUCCAAGUGGUAGAAU
rnacentral:tRNA from 1 species